GGUCCCUAUACCUUUAGUAUCUGUGACACUUCUAGCUUCUCUGAGUACACCCGGGGAGGCAUUGUCAGUCAGGUUAAAGUACCUAAGAAGAUCAGCUUUAAAUCCUUGCUAGUGUCACUGGCAGAACCAGACUUUGUGAUAACGGAUUUUGCCAAGUUUUCUCGCCCUGGUCAGCUGCACAUUGGCUUCCAGGCCCUGCACCGCUUCUGUGCUCAGCAUGGCCGGUCUCCUCGGCCCUACAAUGAGGAGGAUGCAAUAGCACUGGUGGCCUUAGCCCAGGCUGUGAAUGCCCGAGCCCUGCCAGUGGUGCAGCAGGACCCCCUGGAUGAGGACCUCAUUAGAAAACUCGCAUAUGUGGCUGCUGGGGAUCUGGCACCCAUAAACGCCUUUAUUGGGGGCUUGGCUGCCCAGGAAGUUAUGAAGGCUUGCUCUGGGAAGUUUACGCCUAUUAUGCAGUGGCUGUACUUUGAUGCACUUGAGUGUCUCCCUGAGGACAGACAGGCCCUCACAGAGGACAGAUGUCACCCGUGCCAGAGCCGUUAUGAUGGGCAGGUGGCUGUAUUUGGCUCAGACCUGCAAGAGAAGCUGGGCAAGCAAAAUUACUUUUUGGUGGGUGCAGGGGCCAUUGGCUGUGAACUCCUCAAGAACUUUGCCAUGAUUGGUCUAGGCUGUGGGGAGAAUGGGGCAAUCACUGUUACAGACAUGGACACCAUUGAGAAGUCCAAUCUCAAUCGACAGUUUUUGUUCCGGCCCUGGGAUGUCAAGAAAUUGAAAUCUGACACAGCUGCUGCAGCUGUGCACCAGAUAAAUCCUUACAUCCGGGUAAUGAGCCAUCAGAAUUGUGUUGGCCCUGACACAGAGCAUAUCUAUGAUGACAGCUUCUUCCAGAACCUUGAUGGUAUUGCCAAUGCCGUGGACAAUAUGGAUGCUCGCAUGUACGUGGACCGCCGCUGUGUGUACUACCGUAAACCACUGCUGGAGUCAGGCACACUGGGCACCAAGGGCAACGUGCAGGAGGUUAUCCCCUUCCUGACAGAGUCCUACAGCUCCAGCCAGGACCCUCCUGAGAAGUCCAUCCCUAUCUGCACACUGAAGAACUUCCCCAAUGCCAUCGAACACACACUGCAGUGGGCUCGGGAUGAGUUUGAAGGUCUCUUUAAGCACCCGGCAGAAAAUGUCAACCAGUAUCUCACAGACUCCAAGUUUGUGGAACGGACACUGCGCCUGGCAGGCACCCAACCCCUGGAAAUGCUGGAAGCCAUGCAGCGUAGCUUGGUGCUACAGCAGCCACAGACCUGGGCUGACUGUGUGACCUGGGCUUACCACCACUGGCACACUCAGUACUCCAACAACAUUUGCCAGCUUUUGACAACUUUCCACCUGACCAGCUUACAAGCUCUGGAGCCCUAUUCUGGUCUGGGCCCAAACGUUGACUUAUCUUUGAUGUCAACAAUCCCCUGAAUCUGGAUUAUGUGGUGGCUGCUAACAAUCUCUUUGCCCAGACCUAUGGGCUGAUGGGGUCUCAGGACUGAGCUGCUGUGGCCAUACUUCUACAGUCUGUGGACAUCCCUGAAUUCACCCCCAAGUCUGGAGUCAAGACCCAUGUCUCUGACGAGGAGCUUCAAAAAGCCAGUGCCUUGUUGGUGAGGGUGAGCCUACAGGAGCUCAGAGCCAUGAUUCCCAGCCCAGAGAAGCUCCCUGGGUUCAAGUUGUACCCUAUUGACUUUGAGAAGGAUGAUAAUACCAACUUUCAUAUGGAUUUCAUUGUGGCUGCAUCCAACCUCCGAGCAGAAAACUAUAAUAUUCACCCAGCAGAUCGGCAUAAGAGCAAGCUGAUUGCAGGGAAGAUCAUCCCAGCAAUUGCCACAACCACAGCAGCUAUAGUUGGCCUUGUGUGUCUGGAGUUAUAUAAAGUGGUGCAGAGACACUGGCAGUUUGACUCUUAAAAGAAUAGCUUCAUGUAGGCCCUGCCCUUCUUCAGCUUCUCUGAACCCCUUGGCCCACCCCCACACCAGUACUAUAACCAAGAGUGGACAUUGUGGGAUCAUGUUGAGGUACAGGGGCUACAGCCUAAUGGUGAAGAGAUGACUCUCAAACAGUUCCUUGACUACUUUAAGACAGGACACAAAUUAGAGAUUACCAUGCUGUCCCAAGGUGUAUCCAUGCUGUACUCCUUUCUCAUGCCAGCUACCGAACUCAAGGAAUGGUUGGAUCAGCCGAUGACAGAAAUUGUUAUCCAUGUGUAGAAGCAAAAGCUGGGCCGCCAUGUGCAGGCACUGGUGCUUGAGCUGUGCUGCAACGAUGAUACUGGCGAGGAUGUCGAGGUUCCCUAUGUACACUACGCUAUCCACUGA